AGUGAACGCUGGCGGUAGGCCUAACACAUGCAAGUCGAACGGCAGCACAGUAAGAGCUUGCUCUUACGGGUGGCGAGUGGCGGACGGGUGAGGAAUACAUCGGAAUCUACUUUUUCGUGGGGGAUAGCGUAGGGAAACUUACGCUAAUACCGCAUACGACCUACGGGUGAAAGCAGGGGAUCUUCGGACCUUGCGCGAUUGAAUGAGCCGAUGUCGGAUUAGCUAGUUGGCGGGGUAAAGGCCCACCAAGGCGACGAUCCGUAGCUGGUCUGAGAGGAUGAUCAGCCACACUGGAACUGAGACACGGUCCAGACUCCUACGGGAGGCAGCAGUGGGGAAUAUUGGACAAUGGGCGCAAGCCUGAUCCAGCCAUACCGCGUGGGUGAAGAAGGCCUUCGGGUCGUAAAGCCCUUUUGUUGGGAAAGAAAAGCAGCAGGUUAAUACCCCGCUGUUCUGACGGUACCCAAAGAAUAAGCACCGGCUAACUUCGUG
rnacentral:rRNA from 1 species